UACAGAGGUCCCAAGCGUUGUUCGGAUUCACUGGGCGUAAAGGGUGCGUAGGUGGCCAGGUAAGUUCGGUGUGAAAGCUCGGAGCUUAACUCCGAAAUGUCAUUGAAUACUAUCUGGCUAGAGGGUCGGAGGGGAGACUGGAAUUCUCGGUGUAGCAGUGAAAUGCGUAGAUAUGCGGAGGAACACCGAUGGCGAAGGCAAUCCCCUGGGCCUGCACUGACGCUCAUGCACGAAAGCGUGGGGAGCAAACAGG
rnacentral:rRNA from 1 species